rnacentral:tRNA from 1 species
GGGGGUGUAGCUCAAGCGGCAGAGCACAUGCUCCGCAAGCAUGAGGUUCUGGGUUCAAUCCCUGGCAUCUCCU